GUGCUCACUUCAGCAGCACGUGUACGAAAAUUGGAACGAUACAGAGAAGAUUAGCAUGGCCCCUCGCAAGGACACGCAAAUUCAUGAAGCCUUCCAUAUUGAA